rnacentral:rRNA from 1 species
ACGAUCGCAAGAUUAAAACUCAAAAGAAUUGACGGGGGCCCGCACAAGCGGUGGAGCAUGUGGUUUAAUUCGAUGCUACGCGAACAACCUUACCUGGGCUUGACAUGUUGGUAGUAGUGAACCGAAAGGGGAACGAUCCCGAGCAAUCGGGAAGCCUUCACAGGUACUGCAUGGCUGUCGUCAGUUCGUGUCGUGAGAUGUUUGGUUAAGUCCAACAACGAACGCAACCCCCAUUGCCAGUUGACAGCGUUAAGACGGUCACUCUGGCGAAACUGCCCCUGAUGAAGGGGAGGAAGGUGGGGAUGAGGUCAAGUCAUCAUGGUCUUUAUGCCCAGGGCCACACACGUGCUACAAUGCGGCGUACAAAGGGACGCAAUUCCGCGAGGAAGAGCAAAUCUCAAAAAGCGCCGCUCAGUUCGGAUUGAAGGCUGCAAUUCGCCUUCAUGAAGCUGGAAUCGCUAGUAACCGCAGAUCAGCGUGCUGCGGUGAAUACGUUCUCGGGCCUUGUACACACCGCCCGUCACACCAUGGAAGCCAGAAACACCUAAAGUCUCCGGUUCGCCGGGGCCUAGGGUGGUGCUGGUGACUGGGGUGAAGUCGUAACAAGGUAGCCGAAUCGAAUUCCCG